rnacentral:rRNA from 1 species
UACGUAGGGUGCAAGCGUUAAUCGGAAUUACUAGGCGUAAAGCGUGCGCAGGCGGUUUUGUAAGUCAGAUGUGAAAUCCCCGGGCUUAACCUGGGAACUGCGUUUGAAACUACAAGGCUAGAGUGUGGCAGAGGGGGGUGGAAUUCCACGUGUAGCAGUGAAAUGCGUAGAGAUGUGGAGGAACACCGAUGGCGAAGGCAGCCCCCUGGGUUAACACUGACGCUCAGGCACGAAAGCGUGGGGAGCAAACAGG